GCUUCUCUCCCAGGGGCCGAGCUGGCGAGCCGUGCACCUGUAAGCCCCGGGAUUGCCACUCUAUGUGGUCCCGGUAUCUGAGGACGCUUGGUUCAAGGGCACAGAGACCACCACAUAGGACUGGGAGUGAGCACAGCUUCUAGGCCCCACCUUGACUGGGGGGACAGAGUUGAGGAGCCUCUGUGCUGUCUUCUGUGUGGUCAGCCUCACUGGAGGCCUCCUGGCAGUCCUGUUUCCCUCUCUUCAUUUAGGGGCUGAUCACCUUUUUCUGACCAGUUGCUGUGCCCACACCAAGACUUCCGGAAGCAUCUCUUGGUUUCCCUAUCCAGGUACAAUGGGAACAGUCGAGGUAUUGCAAAGAGUUCUCACUACUAAAAUCAACUUGAAAGUUGUGGAUUUUCUUCAGAAUCCGGAGUCGUUAGCAGAUUCUGGGGACAGACUCAGGAGUAGGCAUUUACUCAAGCACAGCAGAAGCUGAACUCCCCCGUAGCGCCCCCCGAAGAGCUCCCCCCGCAUCGCCCUGCUCUGGAGGCUGGACACUCCUGCCUCUCCCCCUCCUCUGCAAGGUGCAAGCUGCUCACUUGAAGCAGGCUGACAGCUGAGCUCGGUGCUUCGGAGAACUGGUUAGUGAUUUCUGCUUAUCCUCCCACUCCCCCUUCUGGAAUUUGGCGUCUGUAGCUUCUCCCGCAAUGAUACAAGGUCUCAUUCCUGAAAUAAGUUCCCUUUUCAGAGUGGCUCAGCUCCCCCCAUCGAACCUUGAUGAAUCCUCCGAGCUGCAUCAGAGAAUACAAGGGCCACCUACGGGAUUUAUGCGUGAUGCCUGGGGGCAGCGAUCGGGUAGGGAGAGAGCCCCACCCCUUCCUCCCGCCAGCCUUGCUCCUGGUCCUGGCCGGCCCAGCCUUUAAUCUCUUAAGCUCCCCGAGACAGCUCCAAGGAGACUCUCCAUGCCAGUCUCUUACAGGGAACACCAUGUACUGAAAUCCUACAGAAGACCGGCCAGGACGCAUCACACCUGUUAGUCACAAGUCACAGGCAGAGCAGCCGUAGUGACCGAUACGGCCUCUCUCGAGAAGAAAGACAUCAGUUUGCAUAAAACGCUGCUGAAUUGAAUGAUGCUAAAGAUCUGUCUGCCCCUUGGCUCAGACCCAGAAAUCUGAGCUUGUUUUUCUCUCUGCCAGCAGCAAAUGCCAGUGAGCGCCACCAGGGGGCACUGUUGACUCUAGAACCACUUGCAGCCAGCGCCUGGGGUAGGGAGCAGAUCUAUUCGUCACAUAAAUUAACGCAAUUGGCACUGCAUUGUUCCAACUGUCAAAACAACACAAUUCUGGCAGUUUUCCAUUCGAAGCUCAAUCUUUUUUUUUUUUUUAACGGGCCAUCAGAGAGUUUUAAGGGGAGUCGAGAACAGUGCCGUGGGGUCUGGCUGCAAAGCUUCUGUAGUUACCUGGAUUGCGUGAACCUGAGAAGAAGGGCGGUUGAAAGCAGCCAGUCACGCAUAGCAGGUGACAGGCUGGCUCCGUAAUGACUCAUUAGCGAUGCCACAGCUUAGGAUGCUGAUCUCGGGAGGCCAAGAGGGGCUUUAAAAGGGAGAUGAAUAUCACAGCUUACAGACUGGCUGGCAUCUCACCGUGGUUGGAUGAGUUUGAGUUGAAUGAUUCCCUAUUAUUGAUUCAAAGUUUAGUUCCUACCAAGUGAUGACUACGGAAUUGAGAACACAAGACCAAAGACUCAGCGGGGACAGGAUGAAAUCAACAGAACGGCUGAACCCACCACAGCUAAGUGCCAGUGGUACUGGAGUUGCUUUGUUUCUUCUGGCUGUCAGAGAAGUGACAUUUUCUGCGCCUUGCUCGCGGGCUAGCCUACGUUCUGUCUUGUUCUUCCUUCCACGAAGACUCUACCCUCCUGUCUUGCCCAGCGCCACUCUUGUUUCUUAAGAUUUUAUUUUUAAGUAAUCUCUCCACCCAACGAGGGGCUCGAACUCACCACCCCGGGAUCAAGAAUUACACGCCGCACCGACUAAGCCGGCCGGCCGGGCUCUCUCAUCAUCAUCCCCGAAGCCAGCGAUGGAGCAUCACUUCCUCGAAGCCAUGACUUAGAAUACGUCCCAUGAAGGACGUGUUCUGCUCCUUCUUGGGUUCUGGGAGAGUGGCCAGGGGGAGGAAGACCUCGCCGAGGGGGGACAUUUAAAAAGAGAGGGAAAUUAUUAAGGGGCCCUCGGGGAGGAAAAACAGCAAGUGUAAUAAAGUCUCUGAAGGGAGCAUGAGCAGAGCGGAGGCAACAGAAGGUCCGUGCAAAUGGAGUAUAGGGAGGCAGUGAAACCAUUCUGGCCUUCUCUGGGCUCUUCUCACAUUGAAUGUGCGCCUCUUUUCUGAUGCUCACUCAAGACCUCUGUUUGCACGUUACCUGAGGACAGAUUCCGAGCCCAGUGCCCACCUGUGGCAGUCACGCAACAAUUAUUUAUAGGGUCAAAGAAGGAAGAAGCAUGGGAACUGUUUUCCUCUCGCUGCAAGACCUGAUAAUCCAGAAGGAGCAAGGGCGUUGCUGAGCGACUGAAUCAUGAAUCUGAAUGCCUGGUGUCUCAGGGAGGACAGGUUAUGCUUUGAUACAGUUAUCAAAUCACCCCAAAAUGUCAACAGCUUAAAACAGCAAACAUCCAUGUCUCAUUCAAUAUUUUUGUGACCACUGCUGGUUGGCAGGGAACUCUGCUCGUGCGUUCAGGGCCCCGGGUGACAGAGCAGCCGCCACCUUGGCCAAAGCCAGUCCCCGUGUCCAUCCCCUUUGACUUUUGAGUUUAGCGAGCGGUCGGUAUAAAGUAUCUGUCCUCAACCGAUGGCAUAAGAAACCCUCCAAUCUCAUGGUUCUUCUGGAAUGAUGCGAUACACUGAAUGUGUUGUGAUUCCUUUUGUGUUGAGACACAAGAAAGAGUUUCACUUUGGUGAAAUUUUCAGCUAAAAAGUAGUUGGAAGAAUAUGACUUUGGAUAAUUAUGUAGGGAGCACAAUGGAGUAAUGAUUUAGGGGAAUUGGUACUCCAGAGCUGGUCCCCUGAAGCAGAGCCUCAAGGUGAGCUGGGGGCUUGUUGGAAAUGCGGAGCGUAAGCCCCCCAUCCCUCCAUUUCUUUGUUCGAUGGGGCUAAUGACAAUAGUAACGUCAUCAGAUUAUUGUGAGGAUUAAAUGAGUCAGCGUAUUUGUCAAAGUAUUUAAAAUAGUGCUGAGCACAAAAUGAAAGAUCUAGAAGUGUUAGGGAUGAUGAUGGUGAUGAUGGUGAUGAUGAUGCUACAAAUACAGUUAAGGAAAUGUCCGUGUGAUUACUUCUAUUUGUAACGUAAUCGCAAACAUUACUCAGUUCCUAUACCACAAGGACCAUUUGCUGACCUUGGACGCUGAGUUGAAAGGCAACGGGUAGAAAAUCUCCGCGGGUCUUUAACACAACGAUGAGAGUCUGGGAAGGCAGCAGGUGGCGGGAGGGAUACAGGAUAAGGGUUGGUGUGGACACUUGAGCAUCCGUCUUAAAAGUUGUCCUCACAGGCCAACAGUCACCUGCGUUUUGCAUCUUGGCUGACGUAGCGGGCCCGUGUUCCCUCCAGGGAAGAUUAAUCUCCACAGAGCCUGAGUGUGGGUAGAGAACAGGGCAGCACAGCCACACUGGUGGAAGUUACAAAGGAAUACCUUUUUUAGUGUUUGUUCAAAAUAGAAAGGUCCAGCAAGGGAGACUUAACUCAGGUUACCGAGACAGCCGGUGUAGAGAAUGGGCAGACGUGAGCACACACCCGAACACAGGUCAGGGUAGCGAAUGAUUACAGACAGCCUAGAUUCAAACCCGGGUCGACCACUUCCUAGCUGGGUGACCCUGACUGAGCCCAAUAACCACUCUGACAUCAGCUUCCUGGUCUGUAAGAUGGGAGCAUAAACGUACGUAUCCAUAGGUUGUCAACAGGAUCCGUUGGCAAUUAGCAAGCACCUAACAAACGUUAUCGCCAUUACUGUUACCAUUAUCGUCACUAGUAUUGGCUAAGUGAGCUGAUGAUAAAAUGUGGGAAACUCAGCUUCCUCGUACUAAUCUACAGCUUUGCAAUAGCUGCUCUCCGGACAGGGGUUCGUCUCUGUGCCCACACUCGCAGGGCUGGGAACACGGGACGGAGCAGGUCGGACAUCUUCCCCCUCGGGGCUGACAUGGGACGGGGAAGCUGUACACAGACAGAUGGAGGUGGGAGGAAGGAUGGGCUGUUUCCACACUCCACGUCCCCUACCCUGUUCCACCUUAGCCAGGUUGAGAUCCUGGAGUUUGUCAGAAGAGAGAAGCCGAGGCUUAUGGCUCUCACCGACGUCAAGCCCAAUUUUAACUCAGAGUUGGGGGCUGCAAACCGGCCAUGCCAUUUCUGGGGCAGGUGGAGCGCUCAUUCAUCAUUGAAUGCCACCGCUGCCGUCUAGGAGCAUGUGACUCCAGCUCCCGUCUGAGCCUCGGUAGCCCCAUCUGUCCCAACGUGCCCCCACGACCUCUUACCCCCGUGUUUUCUACCUCUCCAAAGGGUGUACUGGGUACUCAGUGGCCUGGGCCAAAGCCAUGGGCUCUUGCUACUUUCCCAUCACCCAAACUAUCCAUCCGUAGGACCUUCGCCACCAUCUGAAGCAGGCGGCAUUAACUGCUCUCCGUCUCCACAGCAGGACUCUGCCCCUAACUCCCAGGGUGAGCCUCCAACACCCGUGUGCCUUCAGCUGACUUAGUGAACUCCAGGCUUCCUCUGCUCUCUGUGUCCUUCAAGAGGCCACGGAAGGAAAAAAUGGGACCCUUGGCUCUCCCACCUCCUGGCCUUUGCGCUUUGGGUUUCUCAGCCCGAAAAGCCCUUCUUGCAGAAAUUGCUGCCUUAUAGGGUGGGUUUCUUUGCCUAUUUCUUUGGAGUCCGCCUCCUGCAUUGUAAGAUCCGAGUGUAGGACCUUCCUCUGUUUGGCUCAGUGCUAGAACCCCAUAUCUGGGCCUGAAAAAUGGUGAGCAACAGACAACUCUUUGUUGAGCGAGUGAAUAAAAGACCAAAGGACAGUAGUUCUCCCAUUAGGGCUUAAAUGAGAUGAUGGCUGUAAACAUUAAGUAAAAUGUCAGCACAGGGUGACAAAUGCAUGCCUUCUUCCCUUCCUCCCCUCUCCUUCUUUCCUUUGUCCCUCUCUUCCUCCCUCCCUCCCUUCCUUCUCUCUAAUACCAAGUACUGUAGUAAGGACUUGACAUUAGGACAACCAUAGCUGCUUCAUGAGGCCAACACAUAGCCCUUACCUUCCUUGUUCUUGGUGUAUGUAUGAUACUUAUAGGUCCCCCGUCUAGAGGCAGACCUUACGGGAAACCCUUGAGCCAACUUCAAGAAUUGCAUCCCUCGUUUGACAUGAUACUAAAGAUUUGGAACGUAAGCACGAACAACAUAAAAUCUGAAGUUACGUCUUUGACUUAGGAACCCCAGGCACAUGUGGAGGCAGAAGGCUUCCUCUUUCCAAUAGCUCUUGUGUCGUAUAAAUCAUGUUAAUUGUCUCCAUGUGCCCGCAGCCCACGGGGAGUUUCGCAACAGCCUUUGAGGGGAUUAGUGGUCUCUGGUGUUUGCUAUGAAAUUCAGA